UACGUAGGGUGCGAGCGUUAAUCGGAAUUACUGGGCGUAAAGCGUGCGCAGGCGGUUUUGUAAGCCAGAUGUGAAAUCCCCGGGCUUAACCUGGGAAUGGCAUUUGGGACUGCAAGGCUUGAGUGCGGCAGAGGAGACUGGAAUUCCUGGUGUAGCAGUGAAAUGCGUAGAUAUCAGGAGGAACACCGGUGGCGAAGGCGCUUCUGGUCUGUAACUGACGCUGAGGCGCGAAAGCGUGGGUAGCAAACAGGAUUGAGAAACCCC
rnacentral:rRNA from 1 species